rnacentral:rRNA from 1 species
GAUGAACGAUAGCGGGAGGCCUAACACAUGCAAGCCGAGCGGUAUUGUUUCUUCGGAAAUGAGAGAGCGGCGUACGGGUGCGGAACACGUGUGCAACCUGCCUUUAUCUGGGGGAUAGCCAUUCGAAAGGAAGAUUAAUACUCCAUAAUAUAUUGAACGGCAUCGUUUAAUAUUGAAAGCUCCGGCGGAUAGAGAUGGGCACGCGCAAGAUUAGCUAGUUGGUGAGGUAACGGCUCACCAAGGCGAUGAUCUUUAGGGGGCCUGAGAGGGUGAUCCCCCACACUGGUACUGAGACACGGACCAGACUCCUACGGGAGGCAGCAGUGAGGAAUAUUGGGCAAUGGGUGCAAGCCUGAACCAGCCAUCCUGCGUGAAGGACGACUGCCCUAUGGGUUGUAAACUUCUUUUGUAUAGGGAUAAACCUACCCUCGAGAGGGUAGCUGAAGGUACUAUACGAAUAAGCACCGGCUAACUCCGUGCCAGCCGCCGCAGUAA